rnacentral:rRNA from 1 species
AUUCAACGCUGGCGGCAUGCCUUACACAUGCAAGUCGAACGGCAGCACGGGUGCUUGCACCUGGUGGCGAGUGGCGAACGGGUGAGUAAUACAUCGGAACAUGUCCUGUAGUGGGGGAUAGCCCGGCGAAAGCCGGAUUAAUACCGCAUACGAUCUACGGAUGAAAGCGGGGGACCUUCGGGCCUCGCGCUAUAGGGUUGGCCGAUGGCUGAUUAGCUAGUUGGUGGGGUAAAGGCCUACCAAGGCGACGAUCAGUAGCUGGUCUGAGAGGACGACCAGCCACACUGGGACUGAGACACGGCCCAGACUCCUACGGGAGGCAGCAGUGGGGAAUUUUGGACAAUGGGCGAAAGCCUGAUCCAGCAAUGCCGCGUGUGAAGAAGGCCUUCGGGUUGUAAAGCACUUUUGUCCGGAAAGAAAUCCUUGGCCCUAAUACGGUCGGGGGAUGACGGUACCGGAAGAAUAAGCACCGGCUAACUACGUG